AUUUGAAUUUAAUGUUUUAUUUUUUAUUUUAUUUUAUUAAAAUUUAAAAGAAAUAAUUUUAAUUUUAUUAAUUUUAUUUGAAAAAAGUUUAUUAAUUAUAGUGUAAAGUAUUGUGAAAGAAUAAUAUUUAAAUAUAAAAAAGAAAUUUUGAUUUAAUGUACCUUGGGUAUCAGGGUUUAUAAAAAAAAGUUAAUUAAUUUAAUUUUCUCGAAUUUAAAAGAGCUAAUUUUAUAUAUUUUUUAUUGUUUCAUAAAUAUUAAUAAUAUAAAAUUAGUAAUGAAAUGUUAGUCGUUUUUGAAUAUAUCUAGUUUUUUAAGAAAUAAAUUUAAUUUAGUGAAUUAAUAUAAUUAUUAUAAAUUUUUAUUAUUAUUAUUUAAUUUAUAAAUAUUUUAAGGGAUAAGCUUUAAAAUAAAAAUUUAAAAAUUUAGGAUAAAAAAAUAAAUUAUAGAAUUAGAAGUUUUCAAUUUUAAAAUAAUGUUAUAAUUAAUUAUUUUAAUAUAAUAUUUUUAUAAAUUUUAAGUUUUUUAUUAAAAUUUUUAUUUUAAUUUUAAAAAUAAAGUAAUUAUGAUAAAAUUAGUAUAUUUUAAUUUAGUUUUAAAUUAAUUAAUUAAUUUAAGGUUAAGGAAUUCGGCAAAUAUUUUUUUACCUGUUUAUUAAAAACAUGUCUUUUUGUAAUUAAUUUAAAGUCUGACCUGCCCAAUGAUUUAAUUGAAUGGCCGCAGUAUCUUGACUGUGCUAAGGUAGCAUAAUCAUUAGUUUUUUAAAUGAAAGCUGGAAUGAAAGGUUUGAUAAAAAAAAUUCUGUCUCAAUUUUAAUAUUAAAAUUUUAUUUUUAAGUAAAAAAGCUUAAAUUUUUUAAAAAGACGAGAAGACCCUAUAGAGUUUUAUAUUUAUUUAUUGAAUUUAUUUUUAGAUUUAAAUGUAUUUUAAAUAUUUUAAGUAUUGGAUUGGGGUGAUUUAAAAAUUAAAAUAACUUUUUAAUUUUAAAACAUUUAUUUAUGAAUAGUUGAUCCUAUUUUAAGAUUAAAAGAAAAAAUUACCUUAGGGAUAACAGCGUAAUUUUUUUUGAGAGUUCUUAUCGAAAAAAAAGUUUGCGACCUCGAUGUUGGAUUAAAGUUAAAUUUUGAUGUAGAAGUUAAAAUUUUAAGUCUGUUCGACUUUUAAAACUUUACAUGAUCUGAGUUUAAACCGGUGUGAGCCAGGUUGGUUUCUAUCUUUUAGAUAAUUAAAUAUUUUAGUACGAAAGGACCAAAUAUUUAAAUAAUAUUUUUAUUUUGAAUAAUAUUAUUA
rnacentral:rRNA from 1 species